UGGCUUAGAAGCAGCCAUCAUUUAAAGAAAGCGUAAUAGCUCACUGGUCGAGUCGGCCUGCGCGGAAGAUGUAACGGGGCUAAACCAUGCACCGAAGCUGCGGCAGCGACGCUUAUGCGUUGUUGGGUAGGGGAGCGUUCUGUAAGCCUGUGAAGGUGUGCUGUGAGGCAUGCUGGAGGUAUCAGAAGUGCGAAUGCUGACAUAAGUAACGAUAAAGCGGGUGAAAAGCCCGCUCGCCGGAAGACCAAGGGUUCCUGUCCAACGUUAAUCGGGGCAGGGUGAGUCGACCCCUAAGGCGAGGCCGAAAGGCGUAGUCGAUGGGAAACAGGUUAAUAUUCCUGUACUUGGUGUUACUGCGAAGGGGGGACGGAGAAGGCUAUGUUGGCCGGGCGACGGUUGUCCCGGUUUAAGCGUGUAGGCUGGUUUUCCAGGCAAAUCCGGAAAAUCAAGGCUGAGGCGUGAUGACGAGGCACUACGGUGCUGAAGCAACAAAUGCCCUGCUUCCAGGAAAAGCCUCUAAGCAUCAGGUAACAUCAAAUCGUACCCCAAACCGACACAGGUGGUCAGGUAGAGAAUACCAAGGCGCUUGAGAGAACUCGGGUGAAGGAACUAGGCAAAAUGGUGCCGUAACUUCGGGAGAAGGCACGCUGAUAUGUAGGUGAAGUCCCUCGCGGAUGGAGCUGAAAUCAGUCGAAGAUACCAGCUGGCUGCAACUGUUUAUUAAAAACACAGCACUGUGCAAACACGAAAGUGGACGUAUACGGUGUGACGCCUGCCCGGUGCCGGAAGGUUAAUUGAUGGGGUCAGCGCAAGCGAAGCUCUUGAUCGAAGCCCCGGUAAACGGCGGCCGUAACUAUAACGGUCCUAAGGUAGCGAAAUUCCUUGUCGGGUAAGUUCCGACCUGCACGAAUGGCGUAAUGAUGGCCAGGCUGUCUCCACCCGAGACUCAGUGAAAUUGAACUCGCUGUGAAGAUGCAGUGUACCCGCGGCAAGACGGAAAGACCCCGUGAACCUUUACUAUAGCUUGACACUGAACAUUGAGCCUUGAUGUGUAGGAUAGGUGGGAGGCUUAGAAGUGUGGACGCCAGUCUGCAUGGAGCCGACCUUGAAAUACCACCCUUUAAUGUUUGAUGUUCUAACGUUGACCCGUAAUCCGGGUUGCAGACAGUGUCUGGUGGGUAGUUUGACUGGGGCGGUCUCCUCCUAAAGAGUAACGGAGGAGCACGAAGGUUGGCUAAUCCUGGUCGGACAUCAGGAGGUUAGUGCAAUGGCAUAAGCCAGCUUGACUGCGAGCGUGACGGCGCGAGCAGGUGCGAAAGCAGGUCAUAGUGAUCCGGUGGUUCUGAAUGGAAGGGCCAUCGCUCAACGGAUAAAAGGUACUCCGGGGAUAACAGGCUGAUACCGCCCAAGAGUUCAUAUCGACGGCGGUGUUUGGCACCUCGAUGUCGGCUCAUCACAUCCUGGGGCUGAAGUAGGUCCCAAGGGUAUGGCUGUUCGCCAUUUAAAGUGGUACGCGAGCUGGGUUUAGAACGUCGUGAGACAGUUCGGUCCCUAUCUGCCGUGGGCGCUGGAGAACUGAGGGGGGCUGCUCCUAGUACGAGAGGACCGGAGUGGACGCAUCACUGGUGUUCGGGUUGUCAUGCCAAUGGCACUGCCCGGUAGCUAAAUGCGGAAGAGAUAAGUGCUGAAAGCAUCUAAGCACGAAACUUGCC
rnacentral:rRNA from 1 species